AUGCUCACAUGUCCAAUGGUUUCACUGGACUGUGUGUCAUGACCUCCUUUGAUAAAGAAGAACAGAGUGUGACUGAGUGCUGGAGAGGAGAGACAUCAGAGUGCAGAAUAAGAAAGUAAUUAUUUAGUGUCUGUGGCUGAACUUCAACACACAAUGGCAGAAAAACCCUUGACAGACUGGGACAGUGGUCUCUUGGAUUGCUUUGAGGACGCGAGUACUUGCUGCUAUGGUUUCUGGUGCGGCCCCUGCCUCGCCAGCACCGUUGCAGGAAGGUUUGGAGAGAACAGCUGUCUCCCUUUGUGUGAUACAUGUUGCUCUGGUGUCAUUCAAAGAG